GAUGAAGAACGUAGCGAAACGCGAUAUUUCUUGUGAAUUGCAGAAGUGAAUCAUCAGUUUUUGAACGCACAUUGCACUUUGGGGUAUCCCCCAAAGUAUACUUGUUUGAGCGUUGUUUCUCUCUUGGAAUUGCUUUGCUCUUCUAAAAUUUCGAAUCAAAUUCGUUUGAAAAACAACACUAUUCAACCUCAGAUCAAGUAGGAUUACCCGCUGAACUUAAGCAUAUCAAUAGCGGAGAA
rnacentral:misc_RNA from 1 species